UACGUAGGGGGGCAAGCGUUGUCCGGAUUUAUUGGGCGUAAAGAGCGUGUAGGCGGCUAGGUAGGUCCGUUGUGAAAACUCGAGGCUCAACCUCGAGCUGUCGAUGGAAACCAUCUGGCUAGAGUCCGGAAGAGGAGAGUGGAAUUCCUGGUGUAGCGGUGAAAUGCGCAGAUAUCAGGAGGAACACCAAUAGCGAAGGCAGCUCGCUGGGACGGUACUGACGCUAAGGCGCGAAAGCGUGGGGAGCGAAACAGG
rnacentral:rRNA from 1 species